CACAGCAGUGUGUUAUAAUGAGGUCAUUGUGUAGAUCAUAGGGGAAGAAGAGAAGCCAAGACAGGCAGUAUAAACAACUUCUCUUUUCUCGGUUGGUCCAAAAGAUUUCAAAGAUCAAAAAAGUCACCAGGAGUCUUCAAGGCUGAGUCCAGUAGGACUUUAUUUGCCGGCAAAAAAAACGGGAUCAGACACAGACAAAAUCCAUGAAAAAACCAAACUGACCCGAGGCUCAAAGCCCCGAACAUCCUCUUUUAAACACAGAAAAGUGGGUGUGUCCGUUCGGACAAGAUGGCCUCAACCAAUCACUAUUCUGCUUGAUUUCUGCUGACACUGCUAUUUCUUUAUAGAAAAACACUUUAUUUCUUAUGGAAAAUCCCUGUACCUCUAGUGGAAAAACCCAGUAUUACCUUCUGCACUUGCGCGAAGAUUGGCGUACGUGCAGAACUGCAUGUCGACCAGUUGCUCUUCGCCUUGCUUUGUUUUUUUUUAAAGAAGGUGCUCUCCCUGUGUCCUUAUCACUGGCUCUUAGAAACUCUGGCCUUCAGUUAACUCCCUUUCUUGAUGCAUCCCAUAUCUGAUCACUCUUUGCACUGUAUUUUUAAACUUAAUGAAAGUGUUACAUAUUUGGUUAUAAGAUGUAAUUCUUAGAUUUGUGGGUGAAUUUUCACACUUGACAUUAUCUGACUAUAGCAGCUUUAAACAGUAGAUGCACCUUUCAGUCAGCUGGUGCCCAGUAGUAUGUUUCAGCAAUCCUUUCACACUUGUAACCCUUUGUUUCUUACUUUCAUCAUUAUAACACUUACUAUCAGUUACCAUUAGUCACCAUUUACCAACUGUGGUUAUUUUAUACUGACCACUAUCUACUCACUAUGGUUAUUUUACACUACAGAUCCAACUUGAUCUCCAGGGGCCUGUUGCACAAAAGUAGGAUUAAGACAUCCAGGAUAAGUGACUGAGCUGAGCUCAAUGAAGCCAAAACAAGAGUGUCCAGGCUUAAUUGGUUGCACAAAGACCGAGCCAGGAUGAGCAGACACGGAUUCAUCAAGCCAGGUGAAACCAAUCCUGGAUAAGUGUGCGCUCACAGCUCCCUCAAAUAUACCCCGCCACUGAUUACAGAUUCGCUGAUUCACCAUGGCAAGUAGAGCAGCUUACUUUUCCCUGCCAGAGGCAGAAAUCCUCAUGGAGACAUACAACAAGGUAAAAUACUUAAUUAAAAAGAAAGGCAACACAGCCACAGUGGUAAAGCAAAGAGAAAAAGCGUGGCAAAGUAUUGCUGACCGCCUGAAUGCGUAAGUAGUGCACAAUUACACACUCACCGCUCUGCUGAAACAUCAUGGACUGCAGAUGAGUGAAACCGUGUAAAUGUGACUCCAUCACACUGUAUAUCUCUUUGAUAAAUAGGUGAUAAUAAUAAUAAUAAUAAUAAUAAUAAUAAUAAUAAUAAUAAUAAUAAUAAUAACUUUAAUUUAUUUAGCGCCUUUUAAAGGACCCAAGGUCACUUGCUCACUGAAUUUCCUUUUGGGAUAAAUAAAGUUUCUCUUUUCUUAUGUUUCCUUUAUAUGUGUGUGUGUGUGUGUGUGUGUGUGUGUGUGUGUGUGUGUGUGUGUGUGUGUGUGUGUGUGUGGUGUGUGUGUGAUGUAGAUUAAACAUGGCCGGGCAGCAAGUCAAAUCAAAUACAAGAACAUGCUGCAGAAUGGUAAGGGCCCUGACUAAUACUUGCACAUACUACGCACAAGCAUAUAUUGUACCCAGAAGGUGCCUGCUCACACAUUGUCUGUAUUGUUUUAGCAGUGAAAAAGAAAACCCACAGACAAGGCAUGGGUGGUGGGUCACCAAAAGCUGACCUCACCCCAGUAGAGGACAUAGCCUUGGAACUAAAUGAAGGCAGGCCCAUGUUGGAGGGGAUCCCUGGGGGGACAGAGACAAGCGUGUGUCCCACCCAAGAUGCCACCCGCUUCAUACAAAGUAUAUUCAUUCAUCUGUACAUGGGACACAAUCACAUUCAUAUCGAAUCCAUUUGGACUGUCUGACUUUGGUUUGCCUAUUGCCUUGCAGUUUCUGGCAGCACUGUCUUACUGUUAGAGCCACCAGCACAAGCACCAGACGAUGCUGAUCCAGUGAGUACGCCAUCAAAGGCAUACUGUAGGCCUGUCAUGUCUUGUGUACUAGCUUCAAUAUGAAUCCGAUUAAAUGUGAUGGGGUGAAGGCACCAGUGCAUCAGCAACAGCAGAUGAUGGCAAUGAUGAUGAGGAGACCAUUUCUCUGGAUUCCAGAAGGCAUGAGGUAUCAUGUCAAGCCUGUGAAAGUACUAUUCAGUCUACAAUGGUGAGGAGUCAUCAUUUGGAGCUCACACAAAAUCACAAAAUCUCAUUUCGGAAAAAAAAGGACCCAGAUGCUGUACAGGGGGCAACCAGCCUGGCAACAUAGUGCAAGGACACUCCAUUGUGCAAAAUUCCUGCUGUGCUAAUUGUCAGACAGUUGUAUGCCAACCACCUCCGGCGCCAAAUAGAACUGGCAGAUGUAGACAUGCAGUACAAGAAAAAGAAAAAGAUGGAAAACCUUGCACUGGAGUCUGAAAUAAAAAAGAGGACAAUUAGAAAAUUGGACCUUGAAACAAAAAAAACUUGAGCAGGAGCUGAGUUAUGUCUUCAAUGCACACUGUAUGCUCCGGCCUAGGACCCGCCCUCCUUAGUCAGUGACCUGGCUGACCUGUGUGAUCCACGCCAUGUUUUCCUCUCUGCCCUGCCACCUGGUUGAGUGACAAGUGAGACAUCCAAUUCUGAGUUGCCUGCUGCUCCACACCUGAUCCUGCUCGCCCUGUCAGCCUGGGCUUUAAAGACUCACCAGGACUGACAGACUUCACCAGAUUAUCGCAUCUGUUUCCAGGAGUUUCCUGCCCAAUGUUGCUUUUUGUGGAUUUUUUCAACUUGCUGACCUAAGCCUGUUUUUUGACUAAGACUUUGCCUGACGUUCUUGGAUGCCUUUGCCCUGUCUGCCUAUCCGUUGCCAACCUGUUUCUGUUCAGCCACGUGAGUUUUGCAGAGCCCUUUGUACUGCUGACUGUGUGCUCCCUCCCUGUCUGUGCACCGACCUCUGCCUGUUUUUGACUCCUGGAUUUUGCCUCAACCCCGACUGUACAUCUGCUGUGCCUAACACUGCCUGCCUGUUUAUUGACCACUUUUGCUUGUCUGACCCUGGAUUUUUGCCUGAGCCCUACCUGUACUUUUGCCAGGAUUUUUUUGACUUGUUUUUUUUUUUUCCCCUGCGGCCUGUGCCUGCCCUGUACUGCCUGUGUUUUUUGAACUGUUAAUGAAUAGCCUAACUAUAGUUCUGCUCCCGAGUCUGCUUCUGGGUCCACAAUUCCUCCCGGCCUCACCGGCCCUGACAAACACAAUUAACAUGUAUUAAUCAUUAUUGUCCUUUCCUCCCCCAGCUCCAAGAAGAUGACACAUCUUAAAUAAAAAAAAUAAAAGGUCAAUCCUCGUAAAGUCAAGUGAGCCAAUAGCCUGUUUGAAGGCCCAAAAUGGUUUGCCCAUUCUUGCGAGAUGUGGUGGAUGAGGAAGCACUUGUGCUCAGGAGAGCCUCCAGGCGAGAGAGGGUCUUCAGGGACUGGUUGGACCCACUGGCCUUCCCUGAUGACCAUCUAUAUGAAAGGUACAAGUUUUCUGCAGAUGGCAUCAGGUAUCUGUGGAGAUUGCUGGGUCCCAGGAUUAAACACAGCACAGUGCGGAGCCAUGCACUGAGUGUUGAGCAAAUGGUUUGUGUGGCCUUGUGCUUUUUUGCAAGUGGAGGCUUCCUGUACUCAGUGGGGGAUGCAGAACAGCUGAACAAGGCCACAAUUUGCCACACAAUAAGGAGUGUGUGUGUCUGGCUAUAAAAGCAUUGGCAGAUGUCUUCAUCUCCUUCCCUGGCCACAGAGGACUCUGUGACAUCAAAGAGGAGUUCUAUAGGAUUGCAGCUCAGUCCAUGGCUCCAGAGUCUUUCGGACCUCUGAAAUCUAUCAGCGCCUAUCACAAGGUGAAUUCUCGGGGGGGGGCUGUAGCUCAGCGGGCAGAGCAGGUCGACUAGUGAUCAAGAGG